CGGGAGGCAGCAGUGGGGAAUAUUGCACAAUGGGCGCAAGCCUGAUGCACCCAUGCCGCGUGUAUGAAGAAGGCCUUCGGGUUGUAAAGUACUUUCAGCGGGGAGGAAGGCGAUAAGGUUAAUAACCUUGUCGAUUGACGUUACCCGCAGAAGAAGCACCGGCUAACUCCGUGCCAGCCGCCGCGGUAAUACGGAGGGUGCA
rnacentral:rRNA from 1 species